rnacentral:rRNA from 1 species
CCGGAGCUUGCUCCGGUGAAAGUGGCGCACGGGUGAGUAACGCGUGGAUAAUCUGCCCUGGUAUCUGGGAUAACAUCUCGAAAGGGGUGCUAAUACCGGAUAAGCCUACGGUCUCUUCGGAGUCUGCAGGAAAAGGUGGCCUCUAUUUAUAAGCUACCGUAUCAGGAUGAGUCCGCGUACCAUUAGCUAGUUGGUGGGGUAAUGGCCCACCAAGGCUACGAUGGUUAGCUGGUCUGAGAGGAUGAUCAGCCACACUGGAACUGAGACACGGUCCAGACUCCUACGGGAGGCAGCAGUGGGGAAUUUAGCGCAAUGGGGGAAACCCUGACGCAGCAACGCCGCGUGAGUGAUGAAGGCUUUCGGGUCGUAAAGCUCUGUCAGAGGGGAAGAAAUGAGUCUGGCUAAUAUCCAGAUUUCUUGACGGUACCCUCAAAGGAAGCGCCGGCUAACUCCGUGCCAGCAGCCGCGGUAAU